AAGGAAAAAAGGGGAUAGGCACAGAUGUAGAGAAAGAGAAACGGACAGAUCCCAAAGAUAAGAAAAAACAUCAUCUUCUUCAUUCUUUUUUUUUACUACUCACCAGAAACACCACUUCCACCGUGACCCAUUGUCCCGCCAUCCCUUUCCACCAUCUCCACCAUAACCCGUUACUACUCCUAUUCACGCCACUAUCCAUACACCUACAAAACCCCAUUGAUAAUCACCGAAAAAAUCACAAAAAACAGCCACAAACUCAUAGAAAACUCUAUUACAACACCACCUUCAACCUUAGUGUUCUAUUGAAAUAGCUUUUGACGGAAGUCAUGUUUCUAUAUUGAAGCCUUCUCGUCGUCAGUUGGGUUUUCCGUCGAGGUCUCUACUUGAGAUUUAAGAUCCAGUCGGUGGUCAUGUUAGUCUUGUUAGAGGUACAAAGGCGUGAAUUUUUCCUUGUUUCAACGAGAUUCUCAAUUUGAAGUGGAUUCUGUUGCUUUAUGGGAGGGGUUGAUUUCGAAUUGAAUGAACUUGGUUUUAGGUAUUGAGAUGGAUUAGGAUACAAAUAUUUUAAAAGUUUAUUAUUUCAUUCGUUUGGGGGUAGGAAAAUACAUAGGUCCGUUUGAUUACUUGCUUACUUUGAAUAGCUUGUUUUUGUUUUGGUUUUCAAAGUUAUGUAUUCAUUCCCGGGUGGGAUGUCCCGGAAGAAAUUAAUGUACAAAUGGACGCCGUUCCUAGAGAAGACCCCGGGAUGUCAGGGAUAGCUUAGAAUAGGUUAGCAUAGGAUAGUAUAGGUUUAUUUUAUCGCAGUUUUCUUUUAUUUUGGGUUGUAAUAAUUCGGACUAUAUAUUUGAGUUUUCUCGUGUGUGCGCUUA